rnacentral:misc_RNA from 1 species
UUUCCGUAGGUGAACCUGCGGAAGGAUCAUUAUUGAACGUUUGAAGGGGUUGUUUGCUGGCCCACAUAAAAAAGGGGCAUGUGCACGCCCCGUUCUCACCCUUCAACCCCCCUUUGUGCACUUUUUGUAGGGUGGUGCAGUGCAUGCGUAUGUGUGUGUGUGUGUGUGUGCGGCCCCCCCUAUGUCUGUUAUGAUUAACUCUGUAGCAUGUAUGAGAAUGUUUGAAGCGUGCGAACGCAUCCACAUACAACUUUCAGCAACGGAUCUCUUGGCUCUC